UACGUAGGGGGCAAGCGUUGUCCGGAAUCAUUGGGCGUAAAGCGCGCGUAGGCGGCCCGAUAAGUCUGCUGUGAAAGUCCAGGGCUCAACCCUGGAAUGCCGGUGGAUACUGUCGGGCUAGAGUUCGGAAGAGGCAAGUGGAAUUCCUGGUGUAGCGGUGGAAUGCGCAGAUAUCAGGAGGAACACCUAUAGCGAAGGCAGCUUGCUGGGCCGACACUGACGCUAAGGCGCGAAAGCGUGGGGAGCGAACAGG
rnacentral:rRNA from 1 species